rnacentral:lncRNA from 9 species
CUGGUCAUUCCCAGGGCCAGCCGCUGUGUCAGCAGAGGAACCCUGGCCACCAAAAAGUGGUGCUAGGGGACAGAAGAAGUGAACUCAGUGCUCCGGACCAAAGGAAUGUGGGCUAUGGUGGAGCGGGACUCUAUGCCAAGGGUGCAGCAAGGUCUCUGCCUGAGAAGGGAGUUUGGCUGGAAUGGAGCGGGAGCUGGGAGUCUGUCCGAGAAGCAGAAUGACACAGAAAGAAAACCAAGGACAGAGAGAGAAAUUGGUCCUUCAGUGGUGGCAGAGCGGAGUCGGACCCAUGAGCACCUACUGGGGUGACUACUUGAUCAAUAUCCGCCCCAGGGUUUGGGAGCCUCUGUCUACAGCCCCUCACCUGGCGAGCACAGCUCAGGUGAGAGAAACAAGGGGUUGCCGUCUUUGAGUUUCCUCUCACAAGAUCUGGCCUGGGAGCUAGGGCCUUGGCUGGCCGGAGUGCUGACCCCACGCCCAGACUCCUAUCCCUCUAGCUCUGUCUUGGCC